rnacentral:rRNA from 1 species
GCUUACGGCCAUACCACCCUGUCUGCGCCUGAUCUCAUCUGACCUCGAAAGCUAAGCAGGAUUGGGCCUGGUUAGUAUUUGGAUGGGAGACUGCCUGGGAGUGCCAGGUGCUGUAAGCU